rnacentral:rRNA from 1 species
AAUAGAUACCCUGGUAGUCCACGCCCUAAACGAUGUCAACUGGUUGUUGGGUCUUCACUGACUCAGUAACGAAGCUAACGCGUGAAGUUGACCGCCUGGGGAGUACGGCCGCAAGGUUGAAGCUCAAAGGAAUUGACGGGGACCCGCACAAGCGGUGGAUGAUGUGGUUUAAUUCGAUGCAACGCGAAAAACCUUACCCACCUUUGACAUGUACGGAAGUUGCCAGAGAUGGCUUCGUGCUCGAAAGAGAGCCGUAACACAGGUGCUGCAUGGCUGUCGUCAGCUCGUGUCGUGAGAUGUUGGGUUAAGUCCCGCAACGAGCGCAACCCUUGCCAUUAGUUGCUACGAAAGGGCACUCUAAUGGGACUGCCGGUGACAAACCGGAGGAAGGUGGGGAUGACGUCAAGUCCUCAUGGCCCUUAUAGGUGGGGCUACACACGUCAUACAAUGGCCGGUACAGAGGGUCGCGAAGCCGCGAGGUGGAGCCAAUCCCAUAAAAACCGGUCGUAGUCCGGAUCGCAGUCUGCAA